rnacentral:rRNA from 2 species
AUGAGGCGAACCGGGGGAACUGAAACAUCUCAGUACCCCGAGGAAAAGAAAUCAACCGAGAUUCCCCCAGUAGCGGCGAGCGAACGGGGAGGAGCCCAGAACCUGAAUCAGUUUGUGUGUUAGUGGAAGCGUCUGGAAAGUCGCACAGUAAAGGGUGAUAGUCCCGUACACAAAAAUGCACAAGUUGUGAGUUCGAUGAGUAGGGCGGGACACGUGACAUCCUGUCUGAAUAUGGGGGGACCAUCCUCCAAGGCUAAAUACUCCUGACUGACCGAUAGUGAACCAGUACCGUGAGGGAAAGGCGAAAAGAACCCCGGCGAGGGGAGUGAAAUAGAACCUGAAACCGUGUACGUACAAGCAGUGGGAGCCUACUUGUUAGGUGACUGCGUACCUUUUGUAUAAUGGGUCAGCGACUUAUAUUCUGUAGCAAGGUUAACCGUAUAGGGGAGCCGCAGGGAAACCGAGUCUUAACUGGGCGUUAAGUUGCAGGGUAUAGACCCGAAACCCGGUGAUCUAGCCAUGGGCAGGUUGAAGGUUGGGUAACACUAACUGGAGGACCGAACCGACUAAUGUUGAAAAAUUAGCGGAUGACUUGUGGCUGGGGGUGAAAGGCCAAUCAAACCGGGAGAUAGCUGGUUCUCCCCGAAAGCUAUUUAGGUAGCGCCUCGUGAAUUCAUCUUCGGGGGUAGAGCACUGUUUCGGCUAGGGGGUCAUCCCGACUUACCAACCCGAUGCAAACUACGAAUACCGAAGAAUGUUAUCACGGGAGACACACGGCGGGUGCUAACGUUCGUCGUGAAGAGGGAAACAACCCAGACCGCCAGCUAAGGUCCCAAAGUCAUGGUUAAGUGGGAAACGAUGUGGGAAGGCAUAGACAGCCAGGAUGUUGGCUUAGAAGCAGCCAUCAUUUAAAGAAAGCGUAAUAGCUCACUGGUCGAGUCGGCCUGCGCGGAAGAUGUAACGGGGCUAAACCAUGCACCGAAGCUGCGGCAGCGACACGUAGUGUUGUUGGGUAGGGGAGCGUUCUGUAAGCCUGCGAAGGUGGCCUGUGAGGGCUGCUGGAGGUAUCAGAAGUGCGAAUGCUGACAUAAGUAACGAUAAUGCGGGUGAAAAACCCGCACGCCGGAAGACCAAGGGUUCCUGUCCAACGUUAAUCGGGGCAGGGUGAGUCGACCCCUAAGGCGAGGCUGAAAAGCGUAGUCGAUGGGAAACAGGUUAAUAUUCCUGUACUCGGUGUUACUGCGAAGGGGGGACGGAGAAAGCUAGGUUAUCCGGGCGACGGUUGUCCCGGUUUAAGCGUGAAGGUGGGUGGCUUUGGUAAAUCCGGGUCAUCGUUAACACUGAGGCGUGAUGACGAGUCACUACGGUGAUGAAGUAACCGAUGCUACGCUUCCAGGAAAAGCCUCUAAGCUCCAGGUAACAUCAAAUCGUACCCCAAACCGACACAGGUGGUCAGGUAGAGAAUACUCAGGCGCUUGAGAGAACUCGGGUGAAGGAACUAGGCAAAAUGGUGCCGUAACUUCGGGAGAAGGCACGCUGAUGGUAGGUGAAGUGACUUGCUCAUGGAGCUGAAAUCAGUCGAAGAUACCAGCUGGCUGCAACUGUUUAAUAAAAACACAGCACUGUGCAAACACGAAAGUGGACGUAUACGGUGUGACGCCUGCCCGGUGCCGGAAGGUUAAUUGAUGGGGUCAGCCGCAAGGCGAAGCUCUUGAUCGAAGCCCCGGUAAACGGCGGCCGUAACUAUAACGGUCCUAAGGUAGCGAAAUUCCUUGUCGGGUAAGUUCCGACCUGCACGAAUGGCGUAAUGAUGGCCAGGCUGUCUCCACCCGAGACUCAGUGAAAUUGAACUCGCUGUGAAGAUGCAGUGUACCCGCGGCAAGACGGAAAGACCCCGUGAACCUUUACUAUAGCUUGACACUGAACCUUGAGCCUUGAUGUGUAGGAUAGGUGGGAGGCUUUGAAGCGUGGACGCCAGUCUGCGUGGAGCCAACCUUGAAAUACCACCCUUUAAUGUUUGAUGUUCUAACGUGGACCCGUGAUCCGGGUUGCGGACAGUGUCUGGUGGGUAGUUUGACUGGGGCGGUCUCCUCCCAAAGCGUAACGGAGGAGCACGAAGGUUAGCUAAUCCUGGUCGGACAUCAGGAGGUUAGUGCAAAGGCAUAAGCUAGCUUGACUGCGAGAGUGACAGCUCGAGCAGGUGCGAAAGCAGGUCUUAGUGAUCCGGUGGUUCUGAAUGGAAGGGCCAUCGCUCAACGGAUAAAAGGUACUCCGGGGAUAACAGGCUGAUACCGCCCAAGAGUUCAUAUCGACGGCGGUGUUUGGCACCUCGAUGUCGGCUCAUCACAUCCUGGGGCUGAAGUAGGUCCCAAGGGUAUGGCUGUUCGCCAUUUAAAGUGGUACGCGAGCUGGGUUUAGAACGUCGUGAGACAGUUCGGUCCCUAUCUGCCGUGGGCGUUGGAAGAUUGAGAGGGGUUGCUCCUAGUACGAGAGGACCGGAGUGAACGCACCACUGGUGUACGGGUUGUGAUGCCAAUUGCAUUGCCCGGUAGCUAAGUGCGGAAGAGAUAACCGCUGAAAG